AUUGAACGCUGGCGGCAGGCCUAACACAUGCAAGUCGAGCGGAUGAAGGGAGCUUGCUCCUGGAUUCAGCGGCGGACGGGUGAGUAAUGCCUAGUAAUCUGCCUGGUAGUGGGGGAUAACGUCCGGAAACGGGCGCUAAUACCGCAUACGUCCUGAGGGAGAAAGUGGGGGAUCUUCGGACCUCACGCUAUCAGAUGAGCCUAGGUCGGAUUAGCUAGUUGGUGGGGUAAAGGCCUACCAAGGCGACGAUCCGUAACUGGUCUGAGAGGAUGAUCAGUCACACUGGCACUGAGACACGGUCCAGACUCCUACGGGGGGAAGCAGUGGGGAAUUUUGGACAAUGGGCGAAAGCCUGAUCCAGCCAUGCCGAGUGUGUGAAGAAGGUCUUCGGAUUGUAAAGCACUUUAAGUUGGGAGGAAGGGCAGUAAGUUAAUACCUUGCUGUUUUGACGUUACCAACAGAAUAAGCACCGGCUAACUUCGUG
rnacentral:rRNA from 1 species